rnacentral:rRNA from 1 species
AGGAUGAACGCUGGCGGCGUGCUUAACACAUGCAAGUCGAACGAUGAUCCCAGCUUGCUGGGGGAUUAGUGGCGAACGGGUGAGUAACACGUGAGUAACCUGCCCUUAACUCUGGGAUAAGCCUGGGAAACUGGGUCUAAUACCGGAUAUGACUCCUCAUCGCAUGGUGGGGGUGGAAAGCUUUUUGUGGUUUUGGAUGGACUCGCGGCCUAUCAGCUUGUUGGUGAGGUAAUGGCUCACCAAGGCGACGACGGGUAGCCGGCCUGAGAGGGUGACCGGCCACGACUGGGACUGAGACACGGCCCAGACUCCUACGGGAGGCAGCAGUGGGGAAUAUUGCACAAUGGGCGAAGCCUGAUGCAGCGACGCCGCGUGAGGGAUGACGGCCUUCGGGUUGUAAACCUCUUUCAGUAGGAAGAAGCGAAGUGACGGUACCUGCAGAAGAAGCGCCGGCUAACUACGUGCCAGCAGCCGC